GCGGUAGUAGCUCAGUUGGUAGAGCAUCAGCUUCCCAAGCUGAGGGUCACGGGUUCGAGUCCCGCUUACCGCUCCC
rnacentral:tRNA from 1 species